rnacentral:rRNA from 1 species
AUUGAACGCUGGCGGCAGGCCUAACACAUGCGAGUCGAGCGGAUGAAGGGAGCUUGCUCCUGGAUUCAGCGGCGGACGGGUGAGUAAUGCCUAGGAAUCUGCCUGGUAGUGGGGGAUAACGUCCGGAAACGGGCGCUAAUACCGCAUACGUCCUGAGGGAGAAAGUGGGGGAUCUUCGGACCUCACGCUAUCAGAUGAGCCUAGGUCGGAUUAGCUAGUUGGUGGGGUAAAGGCCUACCAAGGCGACGAUCCGUAACUGGUCUGAGAGGAUGAUCAGUCACACUGGAACUGAGACACGGUCCAGACUCCUACGGGAGGCAGCAGUGGGGAAUACUGGACAAUGGGCGAAAGCCUGAUCCAGCCAUGCCGCGUGUGUGAAGAAGGUCUUCGGAUUGUAAAGCACUUUAAGUUGGGAGGAAGGGCAGUAAGUUAAUACCUUGCUGUUUUGACGUUACCAACAGAAUAAGCACCGGCUAACUUCGUG